CACCAUCGGCAGCUGACCACCACUGGUCUGCAGCUUCUCUUUCCGCUCCCUUCUGUUCUUGGUUGCUGUGUACGUUUGUUGGUGCGCUCGCACCACAUUGCGCUCUUCAUCAUUUCGCUCUAUUUUAGACGAGGUGUGCGCGCGCGUGUACGUGUGUCUGCUCUCCCUCGAAGAGGUGCGUGUGUACAUGAUCACAUCCCUUUGCCCGCCUUCUGCCCCGUCAUUUCUCAUGGAGCCCAACAAGGCAUCCAGUGCGCGCGGCCACUACGUGCGCCUUGGCAAGAACGCGGAUGUGAUCUACAACGAGGCCGAUGUCAUUGGCCGCGGUCAGUUCGGUAUUGUGUACCGCGGUCUCAUUCCCGCCUCCGGCACUGUCGUCGCCGUCAAGCUGCUGCAGAAUGUCCCCAUGGUGUUCACUCCAACCUCGGAGCAUGCAAGUCAGCACUCGCGCCAUGCCGACCGGCACGAGGGUAAGGGCAGUCAUCCUGCUGCACUGUCCUCUGCGGGGCCGUCUUCCUCGUCGUUCGCCCCGCCAUCCAAACCAAGGUCUCCAGGCUGCCCGUCGGAGCUGGCGAUUCUGUACGACGUGCGCGCCGACAACUGCCCCAACAUCGUGCACGUCAUUUCCACGUGGAACAAGGUGCUGAAGCCCCCACGUAACGAGGCAAGCGGCGCGGCGGGCGCCGCGCCGCGGCUUGUAUCGUCGUCCUCCUCCUGCGAGAGUCGACCCUCUCGCAUCUUUGUCAUGGUGACAGAGUACUGCGAGGGUGGCGAUCUACAGCAGUUCAUGAAGGCCCGCGGUGGUGCCCUGCCCGCCCACGUUGCUCGCUCCUUCACUUACCAGCUCUGCAACGCCUUGCUGACACUGAAGCGGCGCCGCAUCGUGCACCGAGAUGUCAAGCCCGCGAACUUGCUUCUGACCUCCGCCGACUGCGAGGUGGCGACGCUAAAGCUGGCAGAUUUUGGGAUGGCCAAGGCUGCGCCGGCACCAGAGAGCCACAAGGCAGGCCCCGCCAGCGCCAGUGGUGGCAAGGACACCGGUCGCGAGGCGCAUAACGAGGAGGACGAGCCGGCCGAUGCCUUCUCCCCGCUGUUCCACUCGGAGAUGGGGACACCGAUGUACAUGUCCCCGGAGCGGCUCGCCCUGCAGCCGUACGGCUACAAAGCUGACGUGUACUCUGCCGGCAUGGUGCUGCUGGAGAUGAUGCGUGGAUCGUGUGUGCAGGUCAAAUGGGAGUCGCAGCUGCGCUCGGAGGUGCCGCGGACAAUCUGGCGGGAGCUCCGGCAAUACCCACCGGACGAAGUGCCCGCGUGGCUCGAUCUCGUGCAGCGGAUGACCGCGGCGGAUCCAGCUCAACGGUACUCGGUAGAGGAUGUGCUGCGGCACUCAUGGUUUCACGCGAAGGUGGGGCCGCCGCUGCCGCCACUGACGUUCCCACUGCCGGAGACAUCAGAGGGCGGCGCUGAGCGACAACCGCAAGAGACUCGACUACAGGCGGCUGCAACGCCUGCCGCUGGUUGCACCGGUAGUGGCAGCCAGUCGACCGCGCACGCAGGUGCGGACUCUCUCACCGCAGCUGCUGUUGGUGCUCCUGGCGCUGGAGGUGACGAGAUGGCUCCCAGGGCACCACACCGCCACAACGACCCAACUGUGGGUGCCGGAGGAAAGGGCACCUCGGUUCCUGAGCCGUCGGCGUCUUCGUCCUCCGACGACGGCGAGGCGGGCGAGGGCACACAGCAAGCGAUCAAGGUGGCUGCUCCGUCAAACAAGCACCGCAACUCUCGCCUAGCGGAGCCUUCAAAGUGGAUGGUACUGGGUGUUUGCGCGGAGGUGGACGCCGUCCACAAUGUCGCCAACGGUGCCUACACCGGGCCACCAAAGCCGGCACUCGGUGCUCAGGGCGCGUCGCCGGUAACGACCACCGUGUCAAGUGCGGUGACGGCUGAGGCGUUUUCAUUGCCACCUGGGUGCGGCCCGCACAUUAUCACUAACGCUGUGCGCUCCUUUGUGGAUGUGGUGUACCUUUACGUGCUCCAGGACGAGCUGGACGCGGCACGUGGUCUGACGCUGGUGUCCUACCUGAUGGAGCUGAUGCAGAACGGGUACGCGGCAUAUCUAAAGUGCCUCGAGUACCUUGGCUGCAGUUGGCGCCACACAGCAGCGAUGAACAGCUGCACUCUCGGCGGGCACCGGCUCGUGGUGCGUGAGGUAAACGCGCUCUACGGCGUGUGGCGGCAGCUGAUGGCACGCCUGCAUGGCGCACAGGCAGCCUACACGGCACGGCUUCCAUCGCGCAUUUUGGACAGCGCCGCGGCGUGGCGACAGCGGGUGCUGGGAGCGUCGGCCACUACUGGCGACGAGGCAGCGGGGGCCGACGAAGACGAGGGGGCACCGGCGGCGUUGUCCGUGGAGGAGCCGAGGGACGUGGACGUGAGCGAAGCAUCAACGUCGUCGGAGGGUGACAUGAUGAUGUCCGCACUCCCCAGUGUCACAUCCAUUUCCAAUGUUGUGGCAGAUACGGAGGCGGCGGAGGGGGCAAGAGUGCCACUGCUCGCUGCUCCUCCUGCGCCGCGGAUUGCGGAGAAAUUGCGCGUUUCUUCCGUCUGCGCACGCGCGGAGCAGCUCAUCUUUGAAAAGGCAGUGGAGUGCGUUCAGUCAGAGGCGCUGUCCAUGCUGAUGGACUCGACGCCGCCGCCCGUUGCCGACGACUUGGAUGCUAUGGACUGUCUCGAAGAGGAGGAGGCAACGAUGCGAGUGUACCGCAAUUGCACGACGCCGUCCCCUCCGCCGGGGUCGGAGCAUCUGUCCACGGCCGCUGACCGUUCUAUGCCUCCACACCGCGGCGUGGCGCUGCUGCGCGUGCUACUGCGGCGAGCAGUGCUGACGACCUCCGAGGUCGGUUUAGAGGAAGAGGGUUCUAGGUCAGCGCGCGCGCCUGUCCCAGGACUGUCGCCUGUUGUUGCAUCUGCAACCGAGUCGCUGUCCUAUCAGGUGCCCCCACCGCCACUAAAUCCCAUGUCGAUUUCUGCAGGCAGCGCCAGCGCGGACGCAGUUUCCAAGGUUGUUUUCGUUGUGAAGGCACCGGUAUUUGGCACCCUUGAUCGGACGGAUCUUCGGACGGUCGAAAACCUGCUGCACGCCGCGACCCGCGUGUUCAGCAGCGCACUCUCGUCGACGAAUUAGAGCGCUGAUUUCCAGCGAGGGAAUAUGAUGAGGGACGAGGAGGCGAGGCUUUGGGGCCCUCUCCAUCUGCAUGCGAGAAGAUCAUGCAUCAUAGCUGCCUCGCGUUGAGUACCCCCGAUCUCCCUCCCACCACGAUCGCCAUCCCACGUAACCGAGUCGUCGUCCUUUCCCGUCACACUGGUCGCCGCGUUUUACACGCCUUUCGGUGGCUCAUAUUCAAAACGGUGCCAUGCCAUCUUCUGACAGGGUGUGCGCGAGCGAGGGAGAGGAGGGAGAGGGGGAGAGAGAGGAAAAAAAAAACAAAGAGAUGGGUGGGGCGGUGCACGGACCUGGUCGUGCGUCUCUCGCCUCACCAAACACCCCCCCCCCCCUCACCCAUCCACCACAUCUCCUCCUCUCGUGCAAUCGAAAGCACACGCGCACCCAUACACGUGCGUGUGGGCCUGUGCACGCUUCAUAUGCCUUACGUCCGUUUUGUGUAUCUUGCCGGCCUUGCGUUGUUGUCUGGGGCGGAGCCUCUCCCUCUCUCCCUGUGCGUGUGCUUGUGUGUGUCUGUAUGCCUGUGUGCCGCUUUCCUUUCUUUUCCCCUCUUUUCUAUAUGAUUUUGUUGCUUAUAGGGAGCUCUGCUUUCGCUGUUUCAGCCUUCUACACUCACACGCACACGUACACACACACACACGCGCAGAUCUUUCCGCUUCACUCUUUCUUUCUCUACUUUUCACUCGCUCCCUGCCGAUGAGUGUUUGCCGUUUCUCACAAACGUGCGUGAGCGUGUGCGUGUGUGCGUCAGUGUGUGGAUGGGUGGCCACACCCUUCGCCGUUCACUGCAUGUGUCCCUUGUCGUCGCCACCGAUGAAGGGCACACGCCCGCACAAAACUCCCUCUUCCUUUUUCUCUUGUGUGUAUGUGUUGUGGUCGGUUUAUGCUUCCUAGAUGCCUCUUCCAUCACGCCCGCUGUGCGGUCAGACAAUCAAGUGAAGAGGCGAAACAUGCACGGCUUGCGCAUGCAGCUACCUUGGGAAUAGACAGAGGAAGAGGGAGGAAGAGCAGGAAGGAGGAGGAGAGGAGGGUGAGAGUGGUUGCUUAUGUCUCCUUUUCUCGCUCUCUGUGCUUGUGUGCCGGUGGCUUUUCGCCACGUACCCUACACACACGCAUACUCACGCAUGCGACCCCUUACAAGCCCUCUUCUCCCUCUUCUUCUUCCAUCCCUACCAGUACUUACACAUCAGCACGAGAACACAAGGAGUUACGCACAUGUGCGGGUGCCUGCAAAACAUUGCCUGCCCGAUUGAUGGAUAACUUUCAUGUUUGGCACGUAGAGCCAUGUACACUUUUGUUUCUAUGCUCAUGCCGUCCUUGCAUGCCUCUACCUCUGCCUCGCUUCCCACACUUCCUUUUUCGCCUUUCCUCAUUUCUCCAUCCCUUCUCUCUGCAUGUGUGCGUGAUGGUUGUGCAUCAUUUACGUUUGCAG
rnacentral:misc_RNA from 1 species